AUUGAACGCUGGCGGCAGGCCUAACACAUGCAAGUCGAGCGGCAGCGGGAAAGUAGCUUGCUACUUUUGCCGGCGAGCGGCGGACGGGUGAGUAAUGCCUGGGAAAUUGCCCAGUCGAGGGGGAUAACAGUUGGAAACGACUGCUAAUACCGCAUACGCCCUACGGGGGAAAGCAGGGGACCUUCGGGCCUUGCCCGAUUGGAUAUGCCCAGGUGGGAGUAGCUAGUUGGUGAGGUAAUGGCUCACCAAGGCGACGAUCCCUAGCUGGUCUGAGAGGAUGAUCAGACAGACUGGAACUGAGACACGGUCCAGACUCCUACGGGAGGCAGCAGUGGGGAAUAUUGCACAAUGGGGGAAACCCUGAUGCAGCCAUGCCGCGUGUGUGAAGAAGGCCUUCGGGUUGUAAAGCACUUUCAGCGAGGAGGAAAGGUCAGUAGCUAAUAUCUGCUGACUGUGACGUUACUCGCAGAAGAAGCACCGGCUAACUCCGUGCCAGCCGCCGCUGUAACAC
rnacentral:rRNA from 1 species